UUGAGAGUUUGAUCCUGGCUCAGAACUAACGCUGGCGGCGCGUCUUAAACAUGCAAGUCGAACGGUAACACUUCGGGUGACGAGUGGCAAACGGGUGAGUAACACGUAGGUAAUUUGCCCUGGAGCGGGGGACAACUUCGGGAAACUGGAGCUAAUACCGCAUACGAUCAUUUUUUCCACGGAAGGAAUGAUGAAAGCCUUCGGGCACUCCAGGAUAAGCCUGCGGUCAAUUAGCUUGUUGGUGAGGUAAUGG
rnacentral:rRNA from 1 species